rnacentral:rRNA from 1 species
GUGGGGAAUCUUGCGCAAUGGGCGAAAGCCUGACGCAGCCAUGCCGCGUGAAUGAUGAAGGUCUUAGGAUUGUAAAAUUCUUUCACCGGGGACGAUAAUGACGGUACCCGGAGAAGAAGCUCCGGCUAACUUCGUGCCAGCAGCCGCGGUAAUACGAAGGGGGCUAGCGUUGCUCGGAAUUACUGGGCGUAAAGGGCGCGUAGGCGGACAGCUUAGUCAGAGGUGAAAGCCCAGGGCUCAACCUUGGAAUUGCCUUUGAUACUGGCUGUCUUGAGUUUGGGAGAGGUGAGUAGAACUCCGAGUGUAGAGGUGAAAUUCGUAGAUAUUCGGAAGAACGCCAGUGGCGAAGGCGACUCACUGGCCCAAUACUGACGCUGAGGCGCGAAAGCGUGGGGAGCAAACAGGAUUAGAAACCCGUGUAGUCC